GGCCUGUUCGUCUAGUGGCUAGGACGCCAGGUUCUCAUCUUGGUAACAGGGGUUCAAUUCCCCUACAGGCUA
rnacentral:tRNA from 1 species